UACGUAGGGGGCAAGCGUUGUCCGGAAUCAUUGGGCGUAAAGCGCGUGUAGGCGGCCAGACAGGUCCGUUGUGAAAACUCGAGGCUCAACCUCGAGAUGUCGAUGGAAACCGUCUGGCUAGAGUCCGGAAGAGGAGUGUGGAAUUCCUGGUGUAGCGGUGAAAUGCGCAGAUAUCAGGAAGAGCACCUAUGGCGAAGGCAGCACUCUGGGACGGUACUGACGCUGAGACGCGAAAGCGUGGGGAGCGAACAGG
rnacentral:rRNA from 1 species